rnacentral:rRNA from 1 species
AACGAACGUUGGCGGCGUGCUUAACACAUGCAAGUCGAACGAGAACGGUUUCUUCGGAGACCUAGUAAAGUGGCGCACGGGUGAGUAACACGUAGAUAACCUGUCCAGGUGUUCGGGAUAGCCCUUCGAGAGGGGGAUUAAUACCGAAUACGUUGGCUUGUCAUAAGACGAGUCAAGAAAGGUGGCCUCUAUUUAUAAGCUACCGCAUUUGGAGGGGUCUGCGUACCAUUAGCUGGUUGGUGGGGUAAUGGCCUACCAAGGCAUCGACGGUUAGCGGGUCUGAGAGGAUGAUCCGUCACACUGGCACUGAAACACGGGCCAGACUCCUACGGGAGGCAGCAGUGAGGAAUAUUGCGCAAUGGGGGAAACCCUGACGCAGCGACGCCGCGUGAGUGAGGAAGGCCUUCGGGUCGUAAAGCUCUGUCAGAAGGGAAGAAAUGUGUAUAGGCUAAUAUCUUAUGCACUUGACGGUACCUUCAAAGGAAGCACCGGCUAACUCCGUGCCAGCAGCCGCGGUAAUACGGAGGGUGCAAACGUUGUUCGGAAUCACUGGGCGUAAAGGGCGCGCAGGCGGUUUGAUUAGUCAGACGUGAAAGCCCACGGCUUAACCGUGGAAGUGCAUUUGAAACUGUCAGACUUGAGUACCAGAGGGGGUAGUGGAAUUCUCGGCGUAGAGGUGAAAUUCGUAGAUAUCGGGAGGAAUACCGGUGGCGAAGGCGACUACCUGGCUGGAUACUGACGCUGAGGCGCGAAAGCGUGGGGAGCAAACAGGAUUAGAUACCCUGGUAGUCCACGCCGUAAACGAUGUCAACUAGAUGUAGGGGGUGUUGAUCCCCUCUGUGUCGGAGCUAACGCAUUAAGUUGACCGCCUGGGGAGUACGGUCGCAAGAUUAAAACUCAAAGGAAUUGACGG